GGCACCUGCCCUUAGACUGGGAUAACUCCGGGAAACCGGAGCUAAUACCGGAUUAUCCCUUUUUCCACCUGGAGAGAGGGUGAAAGAUGGCUUCGGCUAUCACUAGGGGAUGGGCCCGCGGCGCAUUAGCUAGUUGGUAAGGUAACGGCUUACCAAGGCAACGAUGCGUAGCCGACCUGAGAGGGUGAUCGGCCACACUGGGACUGAGACACGGCCCAGACUCCUACGGGAGGCAGCAGUAGGGAAUCUUCCGCAAUGGACGAAAGUCUGACGGAGCAACGCCGCGUGAGUGAGGAAGGCCUUCGGGUCGUAAAGCUCUGUUGUGAGGGAAGAAGCGGUACCGUUCGAAUAGGGCGGUACCUUGACGGUACCUCACCAGAAAGCCACGGCUAACUACGUGCCAGCAGCCGCGGUAAUACGUAGGUGGCAAGCGUUGUCCGGAAUUAUUGGGCGUAAAGCGCGCGCAGGCGGCUUCUUAAGUCUGAUGUGAAAUCUCGGGGCUCAACCCCGAGCGGCCAUUGGAAACUGGGGAGCUUGAGUGCAGAAGAGGAGAGUGGAAUUCCACGUGUAGCGGUGAAAUGCGUAGAGAUGUGGAGGAACACCAGUGGCGAAGGCGACUCUCUGGUCUGUAACUGACGCUGAGGCGCGAAAGCGUGGGGAGCAAACAGGAUUAGAUACCCUGGUAGUCCACGCCGUAAACGAUGAGUGCUAGGUGUUAGGGGUUUCGAUGCCCGUAGUGCCGAAGUUAACACAUUAAGCACUCCGCCUGGGGAGUACGGCCGCAAGGCUGAAACUCAAAGGAAUUGACGGGGACCCGCACAAGCAGUGGAGCAUGUGGUUUAAUUCGAAGCAACGCGAAGAACCUUACCAGGUCUUGACAUCCUUUGACCACCCAAGAGAUUGGGCUUCCCCUUCGGGGGCAAAGUGACAGGUGGUGCAUGGUUGUCGUCAGCUCGUGUCGUGAGAUGUUGGGUUAAGUCCCGCAACGAGCGCAACCCUUGAUCUUAGUUGCCAGCAUUAAGUUGGGCACUCUAAGGUGACUGCCGGUGACAAACCGGAGGAAGGUGGGGAUGACGUCAAAUCAUCAUGCCCCUUAUGACCUGGGCUACACACGUGCUACAAUGGAUGGUACAAAGGGCAGCGAAACCGCGAGGUGAAGCCAAUCCCAUAAAGCCAUUCUCAGUUCGGAUUGCAGGCUGCAACUCGCCUGCAUGAAGCCGGAAUUGCUAGUAAUCGCGGAUCAGCAUGCCGCG
rnacentral:rRNA from 1 species